UACGGGGGGGGCAAGCGUUGUUCGGAAUUACUGGGCGUAAAGGGCUCGUAGGCGGCCAUCUAAGUCGGACGUGAAAUCCCUCGGCUUAACCGGGGAACUGCGUCCGAUACUGGAGGGCUUGAGUGUGGGAGAGGUGAGUGGAACUGCGAGUGUAGAGGUGAAAUUCGUAGAUAUUCGCAAGAACACCAGUGGCGAAGGCGGCUCACUGGCCCGGUACUGACGCUGAGGUGCGAAAGCAUGGGGAGCAAACAGG
rnacentral:rRNA from 1 species